ACGAACGCUGGCGGCGUGCUUAACACAUGCAAGGCGAACGGAAAGGCCCUGCUUGCAGGGUGCUCGAGUGGCGAACGGGUGAGUAACACGUGGGUGAUCUGCCCCUUACUUUGGGAUAAGCCUGGGAAACUGGGUCUAAUACUGGAUAGGACCAUGCUGUAGGUGGGGUGGUGGAAAGAUUAGUUUCGGUAAGGGAUGAGCUCGCGGCCUAUCAGCGUGUUGGUGGGGUAAUGGCCUACCAAGGCGUCGACGGGUAGCCGGCCUGAGAGGGUGGACGGCCACAUUGGGACUGUGAUACUGCCCAGACUCCUACGGUAGGCAGCAGUGGGGCAUAUUGCACUAUUGGCGCAUGCCUGAUGCAGCGACGCCGCGUUGGGGCUGACGGCCUUCGGGUUGUAAACUCCUUUCAGCCAUGUCGAAGCCCUUGUGGUGACGGUAGUGGUAGAAGAAGCACCGGCUAACUACGUG
rnacentral:rRNA from 1 species